GACGAACGCUGGCGGCGCGCCUAACACAUGCAAGCCGAACGGAGCUGAGAGAAGCUUGCUUUUCUUAGCUUAGUGGCGAACGGGUGAGUAACGCGUGAGUAACCUGCCCUGGAGUGGGGGACAACAGUUGGAAACGACUGCUAAUACCGCAUAAGCCCACGAUCCGGCAUCGGAUUGAGGGAAAAGGAUUUAUUCGCUUCAGGAUGGACUCGCGUCCAAUUAGCUAGUUGGUGAGGUAACGGCCCACCAAGGCGACGAUUGGUAGCCGGACUGAGAGGUUGAACGGCCACAUUGGGACUGAGACACGGCCCAGACUCCUACGGGAGGCAGCAGUGGGGGAUAUUGCACAAUGGGGGAAACCCUGAUGCAGCGACGCCGCGUGGAGGAAGAAGGUUUUCGGAUUGUAAACUCCUGUCGUUAGGGACGAUAAUGACGGUACCUAACAAGAAAGCACCGGCUAACUACGUG
rnacentral:rRNA from 1 species